rnacentral:rRNA from 1 species
UGUCUCAGUACAAGCCAAAUUAAGGUGAAACCGCGAAAGGCUCAUUAAAUCAGUUAUGGUUCCUUAGAUCGUACCCACAAUUACUUGGAUAACUGUGGUAAUUCUAGAGCUAAUACAUGCAAACAGAGCUCCGACCGGAGACGGAAGGAGUGCUUUUAUUAGAUCAAAACCAAUCGGUGGCGGGCUCGCUCGUCAUCGUACAAAUUGGUGACUCUGAAUAACUUUACGCUGAUCGCACGGUCAUCGCACCGGCGACGCAUCUUUCAAAUGUCUGCCUUAUCAACUGUCGAUGGUAGGUUCUGCGCCUACCAUGGUUGUAACGGGUAACGGGGAAUCAGGGUUCGAUUCCGGAGAGGGAGCCUGAGAAACGGCUACCACAUCCAAGGAAGGCAGCAGGCGCGCAAAUUACCCACUCCCGGCACGGGGAGGUAGUGACGAAAAAUAACGAUACGGGACUCAUCCGAGGCCCCGUAAUCGGAAUGAGUACACUCUAAACCCUUUAACAAGGAUCAAUUGGAGGGCAAGUCUGGUGCCAGCAGCCGCGGUAAUUCCAGCUCCAAUAGCGUAUAUUAAAGUUGUUGCGGUUAAAAAGCUCGUAGUCGAAUUUGUGUCUCGCGCCGCUGGUUCAUCGUCCGCGGUGUUAACUGGCGAGUCGCGAGACGUCCUGCCGGUGGGCUUAGCUCGCAAGGGCGGCCCAACUCAAUCCUGCCGCGGUGCUCUUCAUUGAGUGUCGAGGUGGGCCGGCACGUUUACUUUGAACAAAUUAGAGUGCUUAAAGCAGGCUAAAACUUCGCCUGAAUACUGUGUGCAUGGAAUAAUGGAAUAGGACCUCGGUUCUAUUUUGUUGGUUUUCGGAACUCCGAGGUAAUGAUUAAUAGGAACGGAUGGGGGCAUUCGUAUUGCGACGUUAGAGGUGAAAUUCUUGGAUCGUCGCAAGACGGACAGAAGCGAAAGCAUUUGCCAAAAACGCUUUCAUUGAUCAAGAACGAAAGUUAGAGGUUCGAAGGCGAUCAGAUACCGCCCUAGUUCUAACUAUAAACGAUGCCAGCUAGCGAUCCGUCGACGUUCCUCCGAUGACUCGACGGGCAGCUUCCGGGAAACCAAAGCUUUUGGGUUCCGGGGGAAGUAUGGUUGCAAAGCUGAAACUUAAAGGAAUUGACGGAAGGGCACCACCAGGAGUGGAGCCUGCGGCUUAAUUUGACUCAACACGGGAAACCUCACCAGGCCCGGACACCGGAAGGAUUGACAGAUUGAGAGCUCUUUCUUGAUUCGGUGGGUGGUGGUGCAUGGCCGUUCUUAGUUGGUGGAGCGAUUUGUCUGGUUAAUUCCGAUAACGAACGAGACUCUAGCCUGCUAACUAGGCGUAUUCGACAUCCUAAAGGCCCGCCGGCUCGGGGUUCGCUCCUUGUCGCGCGCGGUUUUUACUGUCGGCGUACAAACAAUUCUUCUUAGAGGGACAGGCGGCUUCUAGCCGCACGAGAUUGAGCAAUAACAGGUCUGUGAUGCCCUUAGAUGUUCUGGGCCGCACGCGCGCUACACUGAAGGAAUCAGCGUGUCCUCCCUGGCCGAGUGG